UCAGAACCUACGUGAAUGUGGUUACUGUAUAAUUCAUCCCUUUUGACCCCUGUGUUUAGGAUGACUCAGGGUUAAACUGUCAACCCUGAUUAGAUCAUCCGAGUCGUGCUCAACUCAAGCAGUCCUGUGACUCCUCACUAGGACUACCCUGGCCAAGGUUUUGCUAAAUUGAAACAUGACUGUACACAGCUCCUGAACUGGAGUGGUCAAUCCCAUCUUGACACACGCUCCGACAAGUCAAGUACUUGACUACACCCAGCAACCUUCUGUCACUGAAUUAGAAAUUCAGGUAGUCCAGUG
rnacentral:lncRNA from 1 species